rnacentral:rRNA from 1 species
CUACGGGACGCUGCAGUGGGGGAUAUUGCACAAUGGGGGAAACCCUGAUGCAGCAACGCCGCGUGAAGGAAGACGGAUUUCGGUCUGUAAACUUCUAUCAGCUGGGAAGAAAAUGACGGUACCAGACUAAGAAGCCCCGGCUAACUACGUGCCAGCAGCCGCGGUAAUACGUAGGGGGCAAGCGUUAUCCGGAUUUACUGGGUGUAAAGGGUACGUAGGCGGUUAUUUAAGUCAGAUGUGAAAGCCCGGAGCUCAACUCCGGGACUGCAUUUGAAACUGGGUAACUAGAGUACAGGAGAGGAAAGCGGAAUUCCUAGUGUAGCGGUGAAAUGCGUAGAUAUUAGGAAGAACACCAGUGGCGAAGGCGGCUUUCUGGACUGUAACUGACGCUGAGGUACGAAAGCGUGGGGAGCGAACAGGAUUAGAUACCCCUGUAGUC